rnacentral:lncRNA from 10 species
GUGUUAAGUGUAUGUUGGAGAGCAGGUGGCAGGCAACUUUCCUCUUUAGAUCACAGGUCCUCAGAUUGUGAGAAACUGUACUCAAGGAUCUGAACUCAAGGAACCCCAGCUAAGGAGUCUCUGUCACUCCUGGAUCUGACUUAGGUAACAAGAUCCUGGACUGUGAGCUGAUGCUGUAAAGGAAUAAGACUUUUGGAAUCUUUGGAAGUGGUGUGUGUAUAUUGCAUGUGGGAGAAAUGUAAGAAAGUUGCAGCCAGAGGGUAGGAAGAAAUAGAUCUGCAAAUUCUUUAACAUUCCCCUUUCAACAGGAAGAGAUGAAUUCCUUCCCUUUGAAAGUAAGCCAGAAAUAAUGACUCACUUAUAACAACAGAAUGUGAUAGACCCAAAAAUGUAUAUUUCUGAAGCUAGACAAUCAAAGGCAUUGCCACUUACAUCUUGCUCCCUAGAAUCACUCACUCUGGAGGAAGCCAGACAUCAUGCUAUAAGGACCCUUUUGCAGCUGUGUAAGAGGCCAUGUGAAGGGCAGCCGAGGUCUUCUGUCAAUGCCAGCAUCAACUCAGCAUCAACUCGCCAGCCAUGCAUGAAGAGAAAGCGGGCUCAGAGAAAGGAGACAGAGGGACACAAAGAUGAGGGAGACCCCACGGCUCUGAAGGGUGGUGAGACGGCUCUGUUCCAGGCACUGUUCCUGUUGUCUGCAGGUCAGCUACUCUUCCUGCUCUCCAUUCUGUGGUGGUGUGAG